rnacentral:misc_RNA from 1 species
AAAAUGCGAUAAGUAAUGUGAAUUGCAGAAUUCAGUGAAUCAUCGAAUCUUUGAACGCACAUUGCGCCCGCCAGUAUUCUGGCGGGCAUGCCUGUUCGAGCGUCAUUUCAACCCUCAAGCCCCCGGGUUUGGUGUUGGGGAUCGGGCUGCGGUUCUACCGCGUCCCGGCCCCGAAAUCUAGUGGCGGUCUCGCUGCAGCCUCCAUUGCGUAGUAGCUAACACCUCGCAACUGGAACGCGGUGCGGCCAAGCCGUUAAACCCCCAACUUCUGAAUGUUGACCUCGGAUCAGGUAGGAAUACCCGCUGAACUUAAGC